CGAGUUCUGACCUUGUGUUACACAUGUUAGCAGUUAGUACAUCCCAAAUUCCUAGAGCAUCUCCAAUCAUGGUGUAGAAUUGUGUGUAAAUUGGUAUCUUCAGAAUCACUUUUGCAUUUUCAAUUACAUCUUGUGGAUCUAAAUUCAAAUUUUGCUCCAAUAGAAAUAUUUAAAUCCACCUGUUGCCUCUUAUGGAUCUAAAUUUACAUUUUUUUGCUGGAAAACACUAUUUGUGUUCCCUUUGCAUCUGUGGAUUGGAAAGGUUUCUGGCUACUUUGGAGAUCUAAAUCAUAAUUUAGAUUUAUUUUACACAACGAUUGGAGAUGCUCUAAUAAUGAAUCAGAUUCUAAUGGGAGAAUAUGUACAAACAUUCUUAAGUUUAUGUAUUUAAAUGUAUGUUGAAAGGAAGGUUGUGAUUUAAGGUACUUCUAGAAUUGAUUUGGAUGAAUACAUGGGAAGCCCAGAGACUGUUUAGGGCAACUGCAGCUAUGCACUAUGACCUAUGUUUCCCCUGCACAAGGAGGUAGGCUCCUUGUUAUUUGAAUAGUAACCAUAGGGCUGUAAAUAGAUGCUUGGGACUGCUGUUAGCAUUAUUCGUCCCCGUUGUGAAUGCCAAGAGCAGUUGUGUUGUCAAUGCACGAGCAAUUAGGUUCUAUCCCUCUACGCACGUCUGCUGCAAUCAGUAAUUGGGCAUUAACAACUGUUCUUGGCAUUCUUCGCAUCUAGUACAUACAAGUCUUGCAUGAUUGUUGCAUUAGAAAUAAAAAUGUUUAUUUUUAUUUGCUCAUUGGCUUUUAGACAAAAAAUGCUGAUUUUUUGUAGUUGGCAUAGAUGAAGGUCAUGCUAUAAUUUCCUUUCUUCUAGUUGUAGUAUAGUGCAUAGUGGAUUCAGUUAAUGAU
rnacentral:lncRNA from 1 species